UUUCAUUGGAAUUCCAUUCAAGACCACACACUUCUUGUCGAUGCGCCGUCAAAACUCGAAAAUAAUGCUCUGGAGCACGAACAUCACGGUGAAGAAUAUGGUUAUCUCGACCACCACUACUUAACACAUGAUCAUUCCAAGAUAGGGCACCGACCCGUUCAGUGUGCCCAGACAUAGUUCUCGUCUUUUUACAAGUCGCGGCAUCCCAAAUUUCAACAGAGCCAUUGUGUGUGCCCACAGCAAGGUGAGUGCCACGCUGAACCCACCUGAGUGAUGUGACCGUAUCUGUUGGAUAAAAGUUGUGCAUAACUGUUACUUCGCUUGAGAUCCCUGACCACAAAUAAACUCGAGAAGCCAAAGCAACCGCUAACAUAUUACAUUGGCCCCAAUCUAAAAGAUUCAGGUAGAAAUCACCAGCAAGGCCAGGAGCGUCAAGUACUCUGUAAGGUAUAGAAGGGAGUUCUCUCCCUUCCAGUCGACUUGCAGAAAUUAAAUCUUUAGUAAUAGAGCGCACAGGCGACAAAGAAUAAAUUGUCCGAUUCGGGUUGUCCUGAUAUUGCGCUUUCUUUCCAUAUGACGAUUUAUUUCGGUCACGAGGAGAUAAAUAGUGAAAUAUCUUUCGAGAAGGUGUAACAGGCGUGUUUUGAAGUAUAGAAGAAGAAGUGUGAGAGGAAGAAGGUGGCGUUCUUUGAGUAAGUUCAAUAUCAUCUAUCCCAGAAUCAGUACGGGGUGUUGAAACCCCUAUCGUAGUGUUAGGAGUAGCAAUUGGAGAAUUAUUAAAAGUUUCAUCAUUGGAACCAAACAACUCGCUUCUUAAGAGUGUGGUGAAGUUGCGAUCCGCCACGGAUUGCUUUUUUUUAACUGGAGUCAAAGGUCCUUCAACUUUAGUAAAACCUGUCCAUAAUUCCGUAGAAGCAUCCCUAGAAGGAAUGAAUCGAUCUCCCUCGUUUGUGCGAGGUCUUUUCUUGUUAGGAGAAGAAGGAAACGAUUUUUCGAAACCUUGCCGCAUUCGAGUAUGAGCAUCGCCUCUUGAAUCAACCGUGUUAGCAGAAUCGGAAUUAGAGUUAUUAUUUUCAACACGAUUCAUGCUAUUAUUUGAAUUUCGAUUAGCAGACGAAUUCGAUGAAGUAGGUCUAGUAAACCCAUCAAAUUCAUCCAUAAUUUCACGUUAGGCCCCCUGACUUCACCGAUUAAAUGUCGUUAGCUAAUUUUACCAAUUGAAUUAAGAAGGAGUCAAUUGAGUUCCUUAAUGUACAGGUACACAAAGAGGGCGAUGUUGGUAAAGUAGAAGCAUACGACCAGCAUCCUUCAACAAUCACCAUUGUCUACUGAGAAACCGGGAAGGGUAAUGCACUUUCAUAAUUAAAUGGCUGAACAGCGUGUAGCGAGGGUUGGACUUUAAGCGAAAGUUUAUUUAUUCUGAAUUAUACCAAUGUAUUUCUUAAAUAAAAUUAGGAUAUCCCUACGCACACGAGUACAAUCCACGGAUAGAGAAUUAAGCUGUCCUGACUUUAGCACAGGCCAUGUAUUAUCAAGACUUGUAGUACUAAUCAUAGUAUUCUAUAUAAGUAUAUGAGACUAUUAUCUAAUGAUCAGUCACUAUCUAAGUGACCUAUGUUUCUCGAAAAGGUUACUUUCAAGAAACCAAGAAACAAUCAAGCUGUUUUCUAUAUGUCUUGAGUUGAACAUCAUGAGCAGAUUCAGUCGACAUAAAUGGCUAGUAAUUCAAACAUGUAGAGAUGGUGAAAUAGUAAAUUGGCUGUCGAAUAAAUAGUGUAGGACUGGUUUUUGGAUAAGUUAAUCAGUACGGGUAUCAACGCCAGCAUUGCACGCGAACCCAAACACGGUUCGCGUUCGUGUUUUAUUACUUCUGUGCCACGUGAACAUUGAGCAGGGUAAAAAAAAAUCUCAAAAAAGAAAAUUGAUUUUCUUUUGGAAAAAUCAACUAAGUCAAAAUCGUGAAAGUAAAAAU
rnacentral:lncRNA from 1 species